CCGGUAAUGACCCUGACACCUUUAGACCAGAUCAAUAAAUGGGCACUUAAUGGAGUCCAGAUGAAUGAAUAUCAGAUGGACAGAGACCAGCUGGUCACUCCCUAGAGGAUAAUAAACUGGACCAAUAUGACAGAGGUCAUAGUUCAGAAUGACAGGUCAAGAACUCCUAAUUGAGUGGCGAUUUCCUCUUUCUCCCCAGUGACCACUGAGGACGGGUGACACUGGGGUCCCUAAAACGUCUGCAUGUCAAUGAACCCAUGACCACACAGAGACCAAAGACAGUGCCACCAGGGGGAGCAAGAGAAAGUGGAAUCUCACAGGGCAGAGUUUUUGUCAGGAGGAAAACUGGGAAGUAUCGCGCACUCUGAGGAACCAGUCACUCCAGUGCUGGGCUGCAGGAUAUCUAGGGCUCUGGAACCUUCUGCUGCUCAGCAUGAGGUGAGACGACACUUGGGAAAUACUAUAAUAUGAAAUUACUUAUAGGGUUUUUUCCAAUGUAGUUCAUUGUUCAUUAUUAAAAUAAUCUUGUAGCAUUUAUAGCUCUAAAUUAAUGUGCAUGCAAUUAAGUGCAUGCAAUGACAUAAAAAUGAAUUAACUAGGCAGCAUUUUAUAAUAACUUUAAACAGUUAAUUUAUUUGUCCUACUGGUUGUUAAUAUGAUAAUGUGUAAUCAAAGAUACAUGUGCACAAGUAAGUUUUUUUUUUUUUUUUAAAUAAUAAUCUAAUAAAGGUACUUUUGAAAUAUUUUAUAAAAAUGUAAUUAUUUUUGAGCAUGAGGGUCAUUUGUAAGGGGAAGUUUAUUUUUUUUUUCAACCAGGCAGAUUUUUUUUUUCUUUCCAAAACUGUAAUAUGGCACAUAAUGUUGUAUUGUAAAUUAUGAUUUUUUUAAAAGACAACAUAGAUAUUGUUUAUCUUUUAAUUCUUCACAUAAACCAUAGUUUCUAUGGUUUUAGUUAAUUUACAUUUAUGUAUCUGGUAGAUGCUUGAAUGAUUAUCCAGAGAAUAUUUUUUCAGUUCUUGCUUUUCCUAGGAAUCAAACCCAUGACCUUUGCGUUGCUAGCACCAUGCUGUACAGGAGGCUUAGUGAGCUAAAUUGAAUUUAGUUUCCUUCCCAGAGACUUCUAUUAUGCUUUCGUUUAUUACCAGUUAGAGUUCAGCGGUGGACUAUCUCCAUCUACUGCUGGU
ensembl:lncRNA